rnacentral:rRNA from 1 species
CCAGACUCCUACGGGAGGCAGCAGUGGGGAAUAUUGCACAAUGGGGGAAACCCUGAUGCAGCGACGCCGCGUGAGCGAAGAAGUAUUUCGGUAUGUAAAGCUCUAUCAGCAGGGAAGAAAAUGACGGUACCUGACUAAGAAGCUCCGGCUAAAUACGUGCCAGCAGCCGCGGUAAUACGUAUGGAGCAAGCGUUAUCCGGAUUUACUGGGUGUAAAGGGAGCGUAGGCGGUAAGGCAAGUCUGAUGUGAAAGGCCAGGGCUCAACCCUGGGACUGCAUUGGAAACUGUUUAACUGGAGUGUCGGAGAGGCAAGUGGAAUUCCUAGUGUAGCGGUGAAAUGCGUAGAUAUCACGCAGAACUCCGAUUGCGAAGGCAGCGCACCGGCGCCCUACUGACGCUCAGGCACGAAAGCGUGGGUAUCGAACAGGAUUAGAUACCCCAGUA